GUACAGCCCACGUGAGGGUGGGGAGAUCUCUGAGGUGAGGGGAGCAAUCAAGUAGUAACGCGCAGAUGCUCUAGAGCGUGCAAGAGUUCCAGCACUGAAGCGGAGAGAAAAAAUGGCGGCGGUCAUGAUGCAGAGGUGGAGGGUCGGCAGGCAAAGCCCCUCCAGCCAUAAGAGGUUCAGGAGAGCUGGAACACACUAAAGCCACUGCUGGAUGGAGGAGGAGGAAGCUGUCAGUAUUUCAAGAAACCAGCUUCUGAUAUUUGAAAGGCAACACAGAGAAAAUGGAAAACGAAGCCAUCAUCACAAACAGCAAAUGGAAAAUAGAAACCAUCAUCACUGUAGUAACAAAAGCAAAAACAAAAAUAUAUAUUAUUGCGGUUUGGAAAUAGUAUUUGACUGCUCCACACCUCAUCUGUUUUCUUUAGAAGAAAACUCUCAUGUUUCUAUAGAAAAGAAAAAUCAGAAAUGCACACUCCUAUUAUGCAAUUAACACAAUUUUAUGAAUCAUUAAAAAAAAAAAUCUCAUAAGAAUGGGCCCAAAUUUGGAAAUGUUUCUUCAAACUUUUCAUAUGAAGCCAUGAGGACAACCAUCCCUCAUAACAUUUCCUCCUAGUUGUUCUGUUUUCUCCCCUAGGCCUUCACAUCUCUAAUUGUAUGUUGAGAAACAGCAUUUGAAACACAUUCAUUUUAAAGACACAUAGAUAUAUCAAUUGGUCCAACAGUUGUGCCAUGCAAGGAUGCUGAAAUUCAGCUAACAUAAAAAUGUCCUUACAAAGUGAGUAUGCUUCCUCUUACCCAAAAUGGCUGUACAUUUUACUUUGUUAAAUAUAACCAUGAGCACUAGAUUGUAGUUUUACCUUCAUGAACAUGCUGAAUCCAGUUUUCAAAAGGUCAGUGAGCCCAGACGACAUAUGUUCUAUAUCAACAGAGUCAGGUCGAUCAGGAUUAUAGAUCUCUUCUACCACUUGCUUCAACAUUGGUUUAUAAGAGGCCUACA